rnacentral:rRNA from 1 species
GUGCCAGCAGCCGCGGUAAAACGUAGGAGGCGAGCGUUAUCCGGAUUUACUGGGUGUAAAGCGCGAGCAGGCGGUCUUGUAAGUGGUGUGUGAAAGCGCUCAGGCUCAACCGGGCGAGGACAUGCCAGACUGCGAGACUGGAGGCAGGUAGAGGCGAGUGGAAUUCCGGGUGUAGUGGUGAAAUGCGUAGAGAUCCGGAGGAACACCAGUGGCGAAGGCGACUCGCUGGGCCUGGCCUGACGCUCAGUCGCGAAAGCAUGGGGAGCAAACGGGAUUAGAAACCCGUGUAGUCC